ACAUAAAGCAGAAGAAGUUCAGGAGGCUCUUUGAGCUGGUCCUGGGCUCCUGCAGUGACUGGGGGCUUCCCACAAACCGUGAUGCACCAAGGAAUAUCAGGAGCGUCAUAAAUAUACUCUGAGAAUGAAGAAAAAGGGAUUUGAAUUUCAACUUUGAUGCAUAAUGUGCUUUCUCUAAAAAAAAACCAACAAAAAACCAACCUUCUUGGCAGGGACCAGACAACUUCACACUAAAUCUCCUGCAGGAGCAUGUUGCCAGUUGCAGAGAUAAAACCUCAAUGAAACACAAUUAGUUUCCACUUGGAUUAGCCAAACUCGCGUCUCUCCUCCCACCCAGACACCCCGGCAGCAGGAUAGGGACCGCUCAGUGCCAGCCUCCCGUGUCCCCAGCCCUGCCGGGAACGGGACGGCUCUGCCCCGGGGGGAGGAUAACUCUCUUUUCACGGCUAAGGGGAGCUGACAAGUGAUGAAUACACGAAAGCCGGAGCGCUGCAGGGCAGCCCCUGCCAUCGCACCGAGGACGGCGGCUCAUCACGGCUGGUUUGCUGCGGUUCUCUGAGGUUUGGAGGCUGGUGGGGAGCCUGGGGCAGGGUCUCCGUGUUAUCCCCCAGCUUGGGGUUGGGGCAUGGCACUGCUGCCUCCUUUCCCAGCUCAGUCCCGAAGGAGGGAGGAGCGCGCAGAGGGGAUAUGCUGGCAGCAGAGGCUGCUGAGAGAUUUGUUCUUUAGGCAGGAAUAUCUCGAAUAUUGUAUUUUUUUUUCCUUAAGGCUUAUAAACUGGGAGGCUUUCUAGUCUUGGAGUUUUAGGCUUAAGCAUCACUCACGGUGGCAGUGUCUCACCCUUGUUUGGCCCUGACUCCUUGGUGUCACUCUAAGCCCAAACAUGUGCUUGUCACUUGUGCCGCAGCCGCAUUUUUGGAGCAGGCUCACGCCUUCAGGCUGGGUCAUGGUGCCCCAGAGCCAGGCUGGCAGGAGCAGAUCAUGGGGCAGGUAGGAAAAACAGCUCAGAGCCAUCCCUGGGACAGGAGCACUCCCCAGGCCCUGCAGGUUUUGCCCUGCCGGGAGGCAGCUAACCAAGGGACCAAGAGCUGCUGGCAGGGCUCUGAGGGGAAAUCAGCCUGUUAAUUAAGAGCUUAAUUGCCCAAUAACGAAUGGUGGACUUAGCUCAGCCUUGAAGCAGGCCAAGCGAGUGAAGUGCCCUCAGGGAGGGCCAGAGGAGGUGAGCCGAGGGCAGGCUUUGCCUUCUGCCGUAUUUGGGAAUAUUUGUAAAUCUGUACAUGGAGAGAACAGAAUCCUGCAGCCCCCUCAGUAUUUCUGUCCCUGCUGUCUCCAAGGUGGGAGGACCGGGGUGGGGGUCACUUGUCCCUCCAACAGUACAAUACCCCAGACAAGGGGUGGACAUUCCUGCUGAUGGAGGAGGGAGGGGAGUUUGCGAGCUGGAAAGGGAGAAGAAUUUCCUUGGCUUGGUGUGUUUUGCUGCAGAAAGGCGGUUUCAGCUCCAAGGAUAAAAGAAAUAAAACGCUCCUUUGCCUCCGGCCCGUGGCAGCCACCACGUCUCAGCUGUGCUCCUGGGGGACAGGACGCCUGGAUGCCCUGCGGCUGCUCCUGCCUCCUGUGAGCUUCUCUCCUUCUCUGUGUCUCCUCUCUGCAGGUUUUUGGACCCUUCCCAGAGCUGUGGCAAGGAUGGGAAAGGUGGUUUGGUGGAAGAAGCCCAGCCAGGCACUGUGGGUCUCUGUGGGGCUGGGCAAGGUGAGGUUUGGGUGCUGUUUAUAGGGGCAGUGGGAGUUCCUGUGUCCCCUGCAGGGACAGGGGGAUGGGGAUGUCCCCAUGCACUUGGCAGCCAGCCCUGCCUGUGCUCCCUCCACCAGCAGGGGAUAUUUCCUAUCUGACAGAGCAGAUGUUGGUUAGGAGCUUCCUAAGCAGUUUCUCUUCCCUCACAGAAUCGCUGCUUGGAGAGAGAAUUAAAUUCUCUUUUGUUGUCAGUUUAGAGGAGAACAAAACCAAAUGUCACCUGGAGAAAUUCUUGCUGCUGCACCCCCAGGGAACUGAACGGCUGCCUCAGGACCAGGAUUAGCCCAUCACUGAGAAAGCCAAUGGUCCCUGAGGGGAUUAGACAGACGAUCGAUGGUGGGAUUAGUUUGUGUGGUGGCUGUGGUGACAGCAGCGACCCAGAGCAGCAGCUCCACCCUGCCUGUGCUUGCACAGAGCCAACCCCUCCCCAACCCUGUGGUCUCUGGGAUGGUCCCUGAGCGGUGUCAGCCCAGUGAGGAGGGGCUGCUGCAGCCAGCACUGCCACAGAUGUUCUGUAUUUUGGAUUUCUCCCCCUUCCAGCCUUGUUAGUAUUGAAAUUAAAAGCAAGUGUUUGUGAAUUGGUA